GCUGAACCGGCCCCAAGUCAGGCACCUGGACACAGGUGACAGCAGGCCCCGACGUGUCGGUGCUGGUGGGACUGCACUUCCCGUUCCGGCUGCACUUUUCAGAAGCACAUGGACAGAGCGGUUCCAAACAGGUUUCCAUCAAAGUUGGAAGACGGUCGGAGGCCCCCGUGCCCAUCUCACCAGCCCCGCUGGGGCCACUGACAGGCCUGUGGAAGCCGCAUCCUACUGACCGAGCCACGGAGCCGCUCUGCUUCCUCGUCUCCCUCAGCGUCCUUGCUGGGCCUCAGGACCCAGCCCCACACCAGGCUGCAGUGAUGCUGUCACCGAGUGCCCUUGCCCCCCCCCCCACAUCGGGGACAGUCUUUCUUUUAAAAAAGACUAACUUACAAGUUUACAAAUGAAAGAACAAACGACACAACACAACUAAAGGACAAACCCACAGGCUGGAUAGGAGGCAAUCUUCAUCAUUCCUGUGGGGCCAUCGGGGCCACGGGCAGGCCGGCCUAAACCCCCCACUCAGGCAUAUUGCUGUUCUACCUGGAAGCCAAUGAAGACCGGGCACUCAGAUCCCCCUCUGCCCCCUGGAAGCAGGAAAUACGUGUCCCGGGUAAGGGGAGCCCCCUGGUUGCCAGAAGGGCACAUUCCGGCCCGAGAAGGCCCAUGAAUGACUGGCCCUGCCUACUCGUACACCCCGUGAGAACCUCUUCAGGGACCCGUUCAGGACCACCCCGAUCCCCCUUCCCCAAACCCGUUCAAGUCCCUGCACGAACUGGAGCUCCCAAGGCUGAGUGCUCCCUGUCUGUCAGCCCCUCAAAGAUUUACCAUCCUAAACACUGCCUGCCUCGGUCACGUUCUGGGUCUUAAGUUCACUACUGGGCCUCCGUGCACACGGGGUCAGAUUUUGGUACCCCUCCUGUUCGUCUGUCUCAUGCCAGUUUAACCCUCCGUCCCGCUGGCAGACCCCAAGGGUGGAGAAGACUUUCUCCUUCCUAUGUCCGGAGAGCCAACUUUCUCGACCCGAUUUAAGUCCCCCUGGAUUUUUACGUCAUCUGAGAAUUCGCUCCUCGAGCAACAUGGUAACUCAAGUGUGAUGAGUUCCCAGGUAACGUCUCCAGGCCCGGUUUCUCUGCCUCUGUCCACUCUCACAUUCCCCUUGAGCCCCAGGCACCACUGUCUGUCGGAGCCUCUCCUGCGCCCUGUGCUGGUCUCCUUGGUUACAACAAACUACCACACACUUGGUGGCUUCCAACAGCACGAAUCUGUUCUCUAACCUCUGGGGUCCUAAGUCCAAAAGGAGCCCGUAGGGAAUAAAAUCAGGCUGCCUCACCACUGGGUCCUUCCGGGACUCCAGGGGAGAGUCUCUCCCUUGCUCUUUCCAGCUUCUGGGCACCUGCAUUCCUUGGCUCGUGGAUACAUCACUCCAGCCUCUGCUGCCAUCGAAACCUCUGUCCCCCAGACUUUCCUGCCUGCGUCCCGUGAGGAUCCUGGGAUUGCUCCUUGCCAUCUCCAGGUCGUGCACUCAGUCACGUCUGAAGACUCCCAGGUUCCAGGAUUUGGACGUGACGUCGCUGGGGACACGGCAGCCCCCACUAUGGCACUAGAGGUGCUGGUGCCCAGAACCUUCCCGCGUCCUCUUGCAGAUGACCCCAGUUAUCACUUAUCCCAGUUAUCCAGCUGCAAAUCUAUGGCAACCACCCCCAGAUGUGUCCCUCAGCACAGACUCCAGCCCGGGCCCCAAAGGCGCAUUUGCAAACCCUACUAGCUUGCCGCCUGUGUGUGCAUCCCACACCCCAAAUUCCGUGUCCAAACCUGAACCAGUCCUCUGUGGCUCGUGCCCGAUUCCUUCCUCCCCUGGCCUCCCAGGGUCAGUGACAAGAUGUCCGGGAAUCAGGCCAGCAGGCUGAGCCUGGCUGGCCUCCCUGCUCUGCCCAGGGAGCCCAGGACUCUCCUUCUGAAGAGGGCCCCCUCAUCCUUCCUCUACCAGGACUCUGAUCAUCCCAGACCGUCAGGGUUUCUGUCGUGUUGAUCUUGACAUUCUGCUGCAACCUCCUGACACACUGACCUCCAGGUCACCUUGCCUGAUGGCUUCAGACUUCGGUCUUGGCCCUCCUGGAGAAGCCACGGGCCUGCUUGAGUAGGUCCUAAAGAGAGAAGAAAGGAGAAAAGGAGAAAGAAGAUGGUGUUCACAUAGUAGGAACCCGAGAGACUUCCAUGGGAAACAGAGUGUACAUCUCCAUUAAAACACCCAGAACAAAGGUCA